rnacentral:rRNA from 1 species
AAUAUUGCACAAUGGGCGAAAGCCUGAUGCAGCAACGCCGCGUGAGCGAUGAAGGCCUUUGGGUCGUAAAGCUCUGUCCUUGGGGAAGAAAAAAAUGACGGUACCUUAGGAGGAAGCCCCGGCUAACUACGUGCCAGCAGCCGCGGUAAUACGUAGGGGGCGAGCGUUAUCCGGAAUUACUGGGCGUAAAGGGUGCGUAGGCGGCCUUUUAAGUCAGAUGUGAAAGGCUACGGCUUAACCGUAGUUAGCAUUUGAAACUAGAAGGCUUGAGUGCAGGAGAGGAGAGUGGAAUUCCUAGUGUAGCGGUGAAAUGCGUAGAUAUUAGGAGGAACACCAGUGGCGAAGGCGACUCUCUGGACUGCAACUGACGCUGAGGCACGAAAGCGUGGGGAGCAAACAGG